rnacentral:rRNA from 1 species
GUGGGGAAUAUUGGACAAUGGGGGGAACCCUGAUCCAGCCAUGCCGCGUGUGUGAAGAAGGCCUUUUGGUUGUAAAGCACUUUAAGCGAGGAGGAGGCUACCGAGAUUAAUACUCUUGGAUAGUGGACGUUACUCGCAGAAUAAGCACCGGCUAACUCUGUGCCAGCAGCCGCGGUAAUACAGAGGGUGCAAGCGUUAAUCGGAUUUACUGGGCGUAAAGCGCGUGUAGGUGGCCAAUUAAGUCAAAUGUGAAAUCCCCGAGCUUAACUUGGGAAUUGCAUUCGAUACUGGUUGGCUAGAGUAUGGGAGAGGAUGUUAGAAUUUCAGGUGUAGCGGUGAAAUGCGUAGAGAUCUGGAGGAAUACCGAUGGCGAAGGCAGCCAUCUGGCCUAAUACUGACACUGAGGUGCGAAAGCAUGGGGAGCAAACAGGAUUAGAUACCCUGGUAGUCC